GGAGAGGUGGCCGAGUGGUUGAAGGCGGCGGUCUUGAAAACCGCAGGGUUAACGCCCCGGGGGUUCGAAUCCCUCCCUCUCCGCCA
rnacentral:tRNA from 1 species